rnacentral:lncRNA from 1 species
CAGCAGCACCAGCUGCUACUCCGAACUGGGAGUGAAGGACUUGACCCAAGGUUUAUGCUACUCGGCACUGUGGAGUGAAGGAGUUCGGCCGUGGUUUACGGGUGAAGGCUGUGUUAUUUGCCCCGUCAGUACUCUGUUGGUAGACGCUGGUUAAGUAGAUUUAAUUUUUACAGUGCUGAGUUAUGUUAGAUGGAAAUCGAUUUUUGUCUUCUUGGCUCUGCAGGGGCUGGGAGUUAUCACCCCAGCCUUCUGCUGCCUCUCAUCGAAUAGCUUUAUUUGAAGUUCCAUUUUGCCAGCAAGUGUAUGGUCAGAUUCUCUUGAAAUGUUAUAAAAGCCCGGAUCAUGUGAUACUCUAGAUAUGUCUACUUUAUUUAUGAGGCUAUUGCUCAUAACUUGCAAGCGGUCUUAUAAUCGUUGCAUUUCAA